AGUGGGGAAUAUUGCACAAUGGGCGGAAGCCUGAUGCAGCGACGCCGCGUGAGGGAUGACGGCCUUCGGGUUGUAAACCUCUUUCAGCAGGGACGAAGCGUAAGUGACGGUACCUGCAGAAGAAGCACCGGCUAACUACGUGCCAGCAGCCGCGGUAAUACGUAGGGUGCGAGCGUUGUCCGGAAUUACUGGGCGUAAAGAGCUCGUAGGCGGUUUGUCACGUCGUCUGUGAAAUCCUAGGGCUUAACCCUGGACGUGCAGGCGAUACGGGCUGACUUGAGUACUACAGGGGAGACUGGAAUUUCUGGUGUAGCGGUGGAAUGCACAGAUAUCAGGAAGAACACCGAUGGCGAAGGCAGGUCUCUGGGUAGUAACUGACGCUGAGGAGCGAAAGCAUGGGUAGCGAA
rnacentral:rRNA from 1 species